AACUUUCGGCAAUGGAUCACUUGGCUCUCGCAUCGAUGAAGAACGCAGCGAAAUGCGAUAAGUAAUGUGAAUUGCAGAAUUCAGGGAAUCAUCGAAUCUUUGAACGCACCUUGCGCCCUUUGGCCAUUCCGAAGGGCAUGCCUGUUUGAGUAUCAUGAACACCUCAACUCUUCAUGGUUUUCCAUGAUGAGUUUGGACUUGGUGGGUUUUGCUGGCCUAUGGUCAGCUCCUCUACAAUAAAUCAGCUUGCCAGUGUUCGGUGGGUAUCAUAGGUGUGAUAACUAUCUACGCUUGUGGUUCUUCCGACAGGUAACCUUCAGCAAUGGAGGUUCACUGGAGCUCAUAGACGUCUCUCCUCAGUGAGGACAGCCCUUUGAAUGUUUGAUCUCAAAUCAGGUAGGACUACCCGCUGAACUUAAGCAUAUCAAUAAGCGGAGGCU
rnacentral:misc_RNA from 1 species